GAUGAACGCUGGCGGCGUGCCUAAUACAUGCAAGUCGAGCGAACAGACGAGGAGCUUGCUCCUCUGACGUUAGCGGCGGACGGGUGAGUAACACGUGGAUAACCUACCUAUAAGACUGGGAUAACUUCGGGAAACCGGAGCUAAUACCGGAUAAUAUAUUGAACCGCAUGGUUCAAUAGUGAAAGACGGUCUUGCUGUCACUUAUAGAUGGAUCCGCGCGGCAUUAGCUAGUUGGUAAGGUAACGGCUUACCAAGGCAACGAUGCGUAGCCGACCUGAGAGGGUGAUCGGCCACACUGGAACUGAGACACGGUCCAGACUCCUACGGGAGGCAGCAGUAGGGAAUCUUCCGCAAUGGGCGAAAGCCUGACGGAGCAACGCCGCGUGAGUGAUGAAGGUCUUCGGAUCGUAAAACUCUGUUAUUAGGGAAGAACAUAUGUGUAAGUAACUGUGCACAUCUUGACGGUACCUAAUCAGAAAGCCACGGCUAACUACGUG
rnacentral:rRNA from 1 species